rnacentral:rRNA from 1 species
UUGGAGGGCAAGUCUGGUGCCAGCAGCCGCGGUAAUUCCAGCUCCAACAGCGUAUAUUAAAGUUGUUGCAGUUAAAAAGCUCGUAGUUGAAUUUCGAGACCGGCUUAUUGGUCGUGCUAUUGUACGUACUGGUAUAAUCGGUUUCUCCUUUCUGACGAACUAUAAUGCCAUUAAUUUGGUGUUAUAGGGAAUCAGGACUGUUACUUUGAAAAAAUAGAGUGUUUAAAGCAGGCUCACGCUUGAAUACAUUAGCAUGGAAUAACGGAAUAGGACGUUUGAUUCUAUUUUGUUGGUUUCUAGGAUCGACGUAAUGAUUAAUAGGGAUAGUUGGGGGCAUUAGUAUUCAAUUGUCAGAGGUGAAAUUCUCGGAUUUAUUGAAGACUAACUACUGCGAAAGCAUUUGCCAAGGAUGUUUUCAUUAAUCAAGAACGAAAGUUAGGGGAUCGAAGACGAUCAGAUACCGUCGUAGUCUUAACCAUAAACUAUGCCGACUAGGGAUCGGAUGAUGUUAAUUUUUUAAUGACUCAUUCGGCGCCUUACGGGAAAC